rnacentral:tRNA from 1 species
GUUUCUGUAGUGUAGUGGUCAUCACGUUCACCUAACAUGCAAAAGGUCCUCAGUUCGAAUCGAGCAGAAACA